GACGAACGCUGGCGGCGUGCCUAACACAUGCCAGUCGAACGGAAAGGCCUCUUUCGGGGGGUACUCGAGUGGCGAACGGGUGAGUAACACGUGAGUAACCUGCCCUUGACUUUGGGAUAACUUCAGGAAACUGGGGCUAAUACCGGAUAGGAGCUCCUGCUGCAUGGUGGGGGUUGGAAAGUUUCGGCGGUUGGGGAUGGACUCGCGGCUUAUCAGCUUGUUGGUGGGGUAGUGGCUUACCAAGGCUUUGACGGGUAGCCGGCCUGAGAGGGUGACCGGCCACAUUGGGACUGAGAUACGGCCCAGACUCCUACGGGAGGCAGCAGUGGGGAAUAUUGCACAAUGGGUGGAAGCCUGAUGCAGCAACGCCGUGUGCGGGAUGACGGCCUUCGGGUUGUAAACCGCUUUCGCUCAUGACGAAGCUUUGUGUGACGGUAGUGGGUAAAGAAGCACCGGCUAACUACGUG
rnacentral:rRNA from 1 species